GACAGAGGUGCCGAGCGUUAGGCGGAAUCACUGGGCUUAAAGCGUGUGUAGGCGGACCGUUAAGUACCUUGUGAAAUCCCGCGGCUCAACCGUGGAACUGCCUUAGAUACUGUCGGCCUCGAGGGAGAUAGGGGCAUGCGGAACUAACGGUGGAGCGGUGAAAUGCGUUGAUAUCGUUAGGAACUCCGGUGGCGAAAGCGGCGUGCUGGAUCUCUUCUGACGCUGAGGCUCGAAAGCUAGGGGAGCAAACGGG
rnacentral:rRNA from 1 species